GAUGAACGCUGGCGGCGUGCCUAAUACAUGCAAGUCGAGCGAACGGACGAGAAGCUUGCUUCUCUGAUGUUAGCGGCGGACGGGUGAGUAACACGUGGAUAACCUACCUAUAAGACUGGGAUAACUUCGGGAAACCGGAGCUAAUACCGGAUAAUAUUUUGAACCGCAUGGUUCAAAAGUGAAAGACGGUCUUGCUGUCACUUAUUGAUGGAUCCGCGCUGCAUUAGCUAGUUGGUAAGGUAACGGCUUACCAAGGCAACGAUGCAUAGCCGACCUGAGAGGGUGAUCGGCCACACUGGAACUGAGACACGGUCCAGACUCCUACGGGAGGCAGCAGUAGGGAAUCUUCCGCAAUGGGCGAAAGCCUGACGGAGCAACGCCGCGUGAGUGAUGAAGGUCUUCGGAUCGUAAAACUCUGUUAUUAGGGAAGAACAUAUAUGUAAGUAACUGUGCACAUCUUGACGGUACCUAAUCAGAAAGCCACGGCUAACUACGUGCCAGCAGCCGCGGUAAUACGUAGGUGGCAAGCGUUAUCCGGAAUUAUUGGGCGUAAAGCGCGCGUAGGCGGUUUUUUAAGUCUGAUGUGAAAGCCCACGGCUCAACCGUGGAGGGUCAUUGGAAACUGGAAAACUUGAGUGCAGAAGAGGAAAGUGGAAUUCCAUGUGUAGCGGUGAAAUGCGCAGAGAUAUGGAGGAACACCAGUGGCGAAGGCGACUUUCUGGUCUGUAACUGACGCUGAUGUGCGAAAGCGUGGGGAUCAAACAGGAUUAGAUACCCUGGUAGUCCACGCCGUAAACGAUGAGUGCUAAGUGUUAGGGGGUUUCCGCCCCUUAGUGCUGCAGCUAACGCAUUAAGCACUCCGCCUGGGGAGUACGACCGCAAGGUUGAAACUCAAGGGAAUUGACGGGGACCCGCACAAGCGGUGGAGCAUGUGGUUUAAUUCGAAGCAACGCGAAGAACCUUACCAAAUCUUGACAUCCUUUGACAACUCUAGAGAUAGAGCUUUCCCCUUCGGGGGACAAAGUGACAGGUGGUGCAUGGUUGUCGUCAGCUCGUGUCGUGAGAUGUUGGGUUAAGUCCCGCAACGAGCGCAACCCUUAAGCUUAGUUGCCAUCAUUAAGUUGGGCACUCUAAGUUGACUGCCGGUGACAAACCGGAGGAAGGUGGGGAUGACGUCAAAUCAUCAUGCCCCUUAUGAUUUGGGCUACACACGUGCUACAAUGGACAAUACAAAGGGCAGCGAAACCGCGAGGUCAAGCAAAUCCCAUAAAGUUGUUCUCAGUUCGGAUUGUAGUCUGCAACUCGACUACAUGAAGCUGGAAUCGCUAGUAAUCGUAGAUCAGCAUGCUACGGUGAAUACGUUCCCGGGUCU
rnacentral:rRNA from 1 species